UACAGAGGUCUCAAGCGUUGUUCGGAUUCAUUGGGCGUAAAGGGUGCGUAGGCGGCGCGGUAAGUCGGGUGUGAAAUCUCGGAGCUUAACUCCGAAACUGCAUUCGAUACUGCCGUGCUUGAGGACUGGAGAGGAGACUGGAAUUUACGGUGUAGCGGUGAAAUGCGUAGAUAUCGUAAGGAAGACCAGUGGCGAAGGCGGGUCUCUGGACAGU
rnacentral:rRNA from 1 species